rfam:Stegodyphus mimosarum contig95021, whole genome shotgun sequence.
GCCUUCGUGGUGUAGUGGUCAGCACGUUCGACCCGUAUUCAAGAGGUCCAUGGUUCGAGUCCCGGCGAGGGCA